GUUAAUAAUUUGAACAAAUGGAAUUGAUCUUUUGUGUUAUUCUGAAUACAUAAGGACAUUGUACAUAUACUUCACGGCGAAAAUAGAAUACAAAUAAAUAUCCAUCCUGCACAGCUACAGGAAAGAGCCCUUUCUCCUUGUGUUGACCUCCUUAAACCGGUAUUUUCUCUGUCUUUGCACAAUCAAACAUGUAUACACAAUUCAUAAGCGUGUUGUGUUUCAAUAUUAUACAUACAAUACAAUUCAUAAAUGCAAAUUGUGUUUUAAUAUUAAUACAUAGCUACAAUAAGAAUAGGAUCUACAGGAAAUUAUCUGAGUGAUUCAAAAAAUUAUAUUUAUCUGAGUGACACGUAAGCAAUGGGAUCCAGGCGGACUCGAACCGCCGCCCUCUCAACGCGUGGAAGCAAUUGAGCGCUCACCCUUUCGAGCUUAUGGAUCCAUCCAACUCACACAACAUUUUUAUUAAUAUUUAUAAAUUUUACUUGAGCCCACAGAUGAUUCAAAUUAUAUUAUGACUGAUCCCCCAGGAUAAAAGAGUGUUUCCAAAUAGUAUGAAGUCGAAAUUAAUUUUAAAAAUAGGCCAAACAAACAAACUACGAUGUUUUUCAUGAAUUAGCCGCUGUAUCUUGAACCACACGACCAUUCUAACUAAGGUAAUUUACUUCUUAAAACACUAAUAUAAACUUGAUUUAAAACUUUCAUGAAUUAGCCGCUGUAUCUUGAACCACACGACCAUUCUAACUAAGGUAAUUUACUUCUUAAAACACUAAUAUAAACUUGAUUUAAAACUCUACUUUUGAGUGUAUGUCGGCACAAAGACCGAACAUAAACAUAGAGCAUUAUUGUCAUGAUCUACACCUCAAAAAGCAUGCAUGUCACGUAGGAGUGAAAACCUGACC
rnacentral:lncRNA from 1 species